rnacentral:lncRNA from 1 species
ACAGAUUGGAAGGAGGAGGAAGAUUUGAAUUUAGAACCAGAAUCGAUGGAACCUACAUUAGAUGAUGGAGCAAAUGAUCAAUUGGGUGGGCCAGAGGAAAUAGUAACUUUGUAGAAUUUUGUUAAGUAGUUUUUAGAUAGGUAAAAAUUGUGUAUUUGCGAGGACGCUGCACAGAUAGGAAUGGGGCUAUGUAGAAUAGAUAUUAGUUCAUUUUUAUAAGAUAUUGAUAAAAUAGACUAAUAGUCCAUAGAAUAGUCAGAUCAGAAGGACGGAUGGUUAAUUUAAUUAUUAAAAGUGGUUUAUUAUAAAAUUACGGUUAGAAUUUGGGAAUAAGGAGUAAGUAUAUAGGAGUUAUUGAAGUUAAUCUGAGAGCCAGAUUGUGAUAGUC